rnacentral:rRNA from 1 species
GAUACCCUAGUAUAUAAAAAGUGAUAAAUUAGUAGAAAUAUGAAAUUUAAUUAUUUUGGCAGUUAAUUUUUUAUUAGAGGAGCUUGUUGAAUUAGUAGUAACUCUUUAAAUUUUAAGGAAAAAUGUAUAUUCAUCUCCGUUAUAAGAAUUAAUAUUGAGGAAAGAAAGUUAAUCUAUUAUUUCAGGUCAAGAUGUAGCAUUUUUAUAAAAAGAUUAGCUACAUUAAAGAAUUUAUGGAUAAAAUAAGGAAAUAUUAUUUAAGAAAUUGAAUUUAGUUGUAAUAUUAUUUAUAAAAAUAAUAUGAAUUAAUAAGAUUAGUGUACAUAUUGCCCGUCACUUCUAAUUAAUAAAUAGAAUAAGUCGUAACA